rnacentral:rRNA from 1 species
GAUGAACGCUGGCGGCGUGCCUAACACAUGCAAGUCGAACGAAGCACCUUACCGGAUUCUUUGGAUGAAAGUUUGGUGACUGAGUGGCGGACGGGUGAGUAACGCGUGGGUAACCUGCCCUGUACAGGGGGAUAACAGCUGGAAACGGCUGCUAAUACCGCAUAAGCGCACGAGGAGACAUCUCCUUGUGUGAAAAACUCCGGUGGUACAGGAUGGGCCCGCGUCUGAUUAGCUGGUUGGCAGGGUAACGGCCUACCAAGGCAACGAUCAGUAGCCGGUCUGAGAGGAUGAACGGCCACAUUGGAACUGAGACACGGUCCAAACUCCUACGGGAGGCAGCAGUGGGGAAUAUUGCACAAUGGGGGAAACCCUGAUGCAGCAACGCCGCGUGAGUGAAGAAGUAUUUCGGUAUGUAAAGCUCUAUCAGCAGGGAAGAUAAUGACGGUACCUGACUAAGAAGCUCCGGCUAAAUACGUGCCAGCAGCCGCGGUAAUACGUAUGGAGCAAGCGUUAUCCGGAUUUACUGGGUGUAAAGGGUGCGUAGGUGGCAGUGCAAGUCAGAUGUGAAAGGCCGGGGCUCAACCCCGGAGCUGCAUUUGAAACUGCUCGGCUAGAGUACAGGAGAGGCAGGCGGAAUUCCUAGUGUAGCGGUGAAAUGCGUAGAUAUUAGGAGGAACACCAGUGGCGAAGGCGGCCUGCUGGACUGUUACUGACACUGAGGCACGAAAGCGUGGGGAGCAAACAGGAUUAGAUACCCUGGUAGUCCACGCCGUAAAC